AUGGAAAUAAAAUGUAAGGGAAUUUAGGAAGAAAAAUGGAGCAGAGAGAGAAGGAAAGGCCAGCCAGUGAACUGCCCAACUUAGGAUCCAUCCAAUGGAUAGGCUCCAAGCUCUGAUACUAUGACUGAUGAUGUGUUAUGCUUACAGACAUAAGUUCAGCAUGGCUAUCUUCUGAGAGGCUCUACCAGCAGCUUACUGAGAAAGAUGCAGAUACAGCCAACCAUUGGACUGAAAUCGGGGACCUCUAUAGAAGAAUUAUGAGACAGAUUGAAAGAUCUGAAGUGGAUGGCAACCCCAUAGGGAGAGCAGAAGUAUUAAUAAACCCAGAGCCCUGGAAUCUCUC
rnacentral:lncRNA from 1 species